AGGAGGAUGAUAACACUUGUAGCCUUUUUGAGCGCUAGAAUAACCCAUAAAACUAGAAUAACCCACAAACACACAUUUUUGAACCCUAAGUUCUAGUUUCCUGACAAUUGAUCCAUAAAUAAAGCAAACACACCCAAAAACCUUUGAAGGAAUAAUAUAACCCUUAAGCACUUCCAGAGGACUCUUAAAGUUUAGUGUAAAGGAGCAUCGGUUAAUAAAAUAUGUUGUAGUAAGAACAACAUCCCCCCAAUAUAAUGUGGGUAGGUUCAAUAUAAACAUGAGUGAUCAAGCCACUUCAAGUAAAUGCCUAUUUUUCCUUUCAGAUACUCCAUUUUGUGCACUUGUAUUCACAUAACUAC
rnacentral:misc_RNA from 1 species